GAACGCUGGCGGCAGGCUUAACACAUGCAAGUCGAACGCACUCUUCGGAGUGAGUGGCAGACGGGUGAGUAACGCGUGGGAAUCUGCCCUUAGGUGGGGGAUAGCCCGGGGAAACUCGGAUUAAUACCGCAUAACAUCUACGGAUCAAAGGUGGCCUCUUCUUGAAAGCUAUCGCCGAAGGAUGAGCCCGCGUUAGAUUAGCUUGUUGGUGAGGUAAAGGCUCACCAAGGCGACGAUCUAUAGCUGGUCUGAGAGGAUGAUCAGCCACAUCGGGACUGAGAC
rnacentral:rRNA from 1 species